GCGCUUGCUUCAGCAGCACACAUACUAAAAUUGGAACACAGAGUACAGUAACACAGCCCCUGAACAAGGAUGACAUUCAAAUUCGUGAAGCGCUCCAUGUUUUU